UCUUCGGAUGCUGACGAGUGGCGAACGGGUGAGUAAUACAUCGGNACGUGCCCAGUAAUGGGGGAUAGCUCGGCGAAAGCCGGAUUAAUACCGCAUACGCCCUGAGGGGGAAAGUGGGGGACCGCAAGGCCUCACGUUAUUGGAGCGGCCGAUGGCUGAUUAGCUAGUUGGUAGGGUAAAGGCCUACCAAGGCGACGAUCAGUAGCUGGUCUGAGAGGACGAUCAGCCACACUGGGACUGAGACACGGCCCAGACUCCUACGGGAGGCAGCAGUGGGGAAUUUUGGACAAUGGGGGAAACCCUGAUCCAGCAAUGCCGCGUGUGCGAAGAAGGCCUUCGGGUUGUAAAGCACUUUUGUCAGGGAAGAAAUCCUUUGGGCUAAUACCCUAGGGGGAUGACGGUACCUGAAGAAUAAGCACCGGCUAACUACGUGCCAGCAGCCGCGGUAAUACGUAGGGUGCAAGCGUUAAUCGGAAUUACUGGGCGUAAAGCGUGCGCAGGCGGUUGUGUAAGACAGGUGUGAAAUCCCCGGGCUUAACCUGGGAAUUGCAUUUGUGACUGCACGACUAGAGUGUGUCAGAGGGGGGUGGAAUUCCACGUGUAGCAGUGAAAUGCGUAGAUAUGUGGAGGAACACCAAUGGCGAAGGCAGCCCCCUGGGAUAACACUGACGCUCAUGCACGANNNNGUGGGGAGCAAACAGGAUUAGAUACCCUGGUAGUCCACNNNNNNNACGAUGUCAACUAGUUGUUGGGGAUUUACUUCCU
rnacentral:rRNA from 1 species